GCUGACAGGACCCGAGCUUCCGCGACACCAGAAGGUGACGCCAGGGCCGCCCUCAUCCUGCGGAGCCACCGGGGACCGGGGCGAGACGGGGGCGGAAAGGGUCUCGCCCUGAGUCUUCCUCCUGUCCUGGACCCAGCUGUUGUUAUGUCAGUCGAAGACUUAGCCAGCUAUCAAGUCAUGAUCCGCUGUGGAGAAGACAUUGCAAAAAAUACUGGCUGAUAUCUGAGGAAGAGAAAACACAGAAGAAUCAGUGUUGGAAAUCUCUCUUCAUAGAUACUUACUCUGAUGUAGGAAGAUACAUUGACCAUUAUGCUGCUAUUAAAAAGGCCUGGGAUGAUCUCAAGAAAUAUUUGGAGCCCAGGUGUCCUCGGAUGGUUUUAUCUCUGAAAGGUAUUGGUAUCAAGAUGAUGCUGGCCUUAUAAAACGAGUCGAGAAGUGUUGCCUCUUUUUCUGUUCCCUGGAAGAGUUUAUAGGGUGCUCGAGAGGAAGACCUCGAUGCUGUGGAAGCGCAGAUUGGCUGCAAGCUUCCUGACGAUUAUCGAUGUUCAUACCGAAUUCACAAUGGACAGA
rnacentral:sRNA from 1 species